rnacentral:rRNA from 1 species
UACGUAGGUGGCAAGCGUUGUCCGGAUUUAUUGGGUUUAAAGGGUGCGUAGGCGGCCUUGUAAGUCAGUGGUGAAAUACUCCAGCUUAACUGGAGGGGUGCCAAUGAUACUGCAGGGCUUGAGUACAGAUGAGGUAGGCGGAAUUGACGGUGUAGCGGUGAAAUGCAUAGAUAUCGUCAAGAACACCGAUAGCGAAGGCAGCUUACUGGGCUGUAACUGACGCUGAGGCACGAAAGCGUGGGGGAGCAAACAGG